rnacentral:rRNA from 1 species
GAACGCUAGCGGCAGGCUUAACACAUGCAAGUCGAGGGGUAGCAGGGAGCUUGCUCCGCUGACGACCGGCGAACGGGUGCGUAACGCGUAUAGAAUCUACCUCUUACUAAGGGAUAGCCCAGAGAAAUUUGGAUUAAUAUCUUAUAGUAUGUUAACUUGGCAUCAAGAUAACAUUAAAGGUUACGGUAAGAGAUGACUAUGCGUCCUAUUAGCUAGAUGGUGUGGUAACGGCACACCAUGGCAACGAUAGGUAGGGGCCCUGAGAGGGGGAUCCCCCACACUGGUACUGAGACACGGACCAGACUCCUACGGGAGGCAGCAGUGAGGAAUAUUGGACAAUGGAGGCAACUCUGAUCCAGCCAUGCCGCGUGCAGGAAGACUGCCCUAUGGGUUGUAAACUGCUUUUAUACAGGAAGAAACACUCUCACGUGUGAGAGCUUGACGGUACUGUAAGAAUAAGGAUCGGCUAACUCCGUGCCAGCAGCCGCGGUAAUACGGAGGAUCCAAGCGUUAUCCGGAAUCAUUGGGUUUAAAGGGUCCGUAGGUGGAUAAUUAAGUCAGAGGUGAAAUCCUGCAGCUCAACUGUAGAAUUGCCUUUGAUACUGGUUGUCUUGAGUUAUUAUGAAGUAGUUAGAAUAUGUAGUGUAGCGGUGAAAUGCAUAGAUAUUACAUAGAAUACCAAUUGCGAAGGCAGAUUACUAAUAAUAUACUGACACUGAUGGACGAAAGCGUGGGGAGCGAACAGGAUUAGAUACCCUGGUAGUCCACGCCGUAAACGAUGGUCACUAGCUGUUCGAACUUCGGUUUGAGUGGCUAAGCGAAAGUGAUA